UGUCUGCAUUACCAUACAGCUGAGCGCACAAAGAACCACUGAUUCAGCCUCGCACAAUAACAGACUGCCUUAAUGACAGCCACGCGAACGACACACACCAAACUCACUUUUUACCAAGCAGAGAGAGGCCUGAGGGGAAUACCCGGGAGAGUGGGACCGGGACACCAGUGAAGGGAACACGCUUCCCGGACCUGGAUUCCCAUUUCCAGUGAUCGCGGACAACACGGAGACACCGGGGCUCCUGAACGCUGCGGUCUCUGGGGGAGCCCGACCGGGAUCGCGAGCCCAGCGGCGCUCUCCGAGGUUCAAUCGCCAUCCUCCGCCAGAGAACAACCGAGGAGAGCCCAGGCGGCCAGCGUUGGAGACGCCAGAGUCCGGAGGCCGUGUCCUGCGCGCGAGUCUAUCGGUGACCGCGGGUAGGAGGCGCAGGCGGCCCAGCGUGCCUGGGGUCUUCGGGCCUGUGUCGGUAGGGCGGUGGGAGACACGGCGUCGGCUCGAGCUCCAGGAGCAGAGCAGUUCGUCGCAGCGAACGUUUUGCAGGAAUGUAAAUGAGCGGGUUUUGCGCUGGGGGAGGGAGGCGAAGGGGC